CCUGUUGUGCCUGCUGCACUCUCUGCCCAGUAUAAGGCGCUGUAUGUCUGUUGACAAGAGAAAUGCAGAGACCAGUGAUGGAAAAUCCUCACUCUCAGACCCAAGUGAAGCAGGAGGACUGGUCAGCCUGCCUACAUUAACAAGACAACAGAUGACUCCUGUGAAAUCAGCCAAUUCCCUAGCCACGUCCUCAGAGCAUGGGAAGGUUCUCCCUAUCCCAGUCUUCCGUCCCCACUUGCUGCAAGAUCUCCACCAUUGUUCCUGUACCCAAGUAAGCGAAGAUCCACGGAUUAUGCAAUCGCCAUCGCACUGCACACUGCCCUAUCCCAC